CCCUUAGAUGUCCGGGGCUGCACGCGCGCUACACUGAAUGAAUCAGCGUGCUAGAAAACCUUGUUUGACAUGGCUAGGUAACCCAUUGAAAAUCAUUCGUGAUUGGGAUCGGGACUUGCAAAUGUGUCCCUUGAACGAGGAAUUCCCAGUAAGUGCGGGUCAUCAGCUCGCGUUGAAUACGUCCCUGCCCUUUGUACACACCGCCCGUCGCUCCUACCGAUCGAAGAGUUAGGUGAAUUGUUUUGAUCGAUAAGAUUUGACUAUGGUCAACUCUCGUUGUGAAAUUCUGUGAAUCUGACUGUUUAGAGGAAGGAAAAGUCGUAACA
rnacentral:rRNA from 1 species